rnacentral:tRNA from 1 species
AGGUAAAAUGGCCGAAUAGGUGUAGAGUUGUAGCCUCUGGUUAUAAAGGUUUAAAUCCUUUUUUUAUCA